rnacentral:rRNA from 1 species
AGAGUUUGAUCCUGGCUCGGGAUGAACGCUAGCUACAGGCUUAACACAUGCAAGUCGAGGGGCAGCAUUUUAGUUUGCUUGCAAACUAAAGAUGGCGACCGGCGCACGGGUGAGUAACACGUAUCCAACCUGCCGAUAACUCUGGGAUAGCCUUUCGAAAGAAAGAUUAAUACCGGAUGGCAUAGGAUUAUCGCAUGAUAAUCCUAUUAAAGAAUUUCGGUUAUCGAUGGGGAUGCGUUCCAUUAGGCAG